CCUCUUGCAUGCCCCACACAGGGGUCAAGCCCACAACCCAGGCAUGUACCCUUGACCAGAAUUGAACCUGGAACCCUUCAGUCCACAGGCUGAUGCUCUACCCACUGAGCCAAACUGGCUAGGGUGCCAAGUUAAUUCUUCACACCAAAAAGUUCAAGUGAAAUCUCCAAUUUCAGCUACUUAUGCUUCAUCACAUGGACGCUCCUAUAGCAGAACCAUAUCCUUGAGUAGCCCUUCAGUCUGGGCUGGCCCUGUGUAACCAAUAGAAUGUAGCAACAGAAGUGACGUGUCUGACUUCUGAGCUAGGUCCUAAGAAGCCCUGCAAUUUUCACCUUGACUUUUGGAACACUGCUCUGGGGUAAGCCUGCUGCCACCGAAGAUGUUUGAUUACUCUGAGACCGACAUGAUGUGAGGAAGCCCAACCUAGCCAUGUGGAAAGACUAUCUGGAGAGAAAAAGAUGGCCAGCUAGUCCCUGGCUGUUCCAGCCAUCUCAGCUGGGGCAGCAGAUAGGUGAGCGAAGAGGCCACUUUGGAUGUCCAGCCCAAUGAAGCCUUGAGAUGACAUCAGCCUCCGCUGCUUUCUGCCUGUAACUGCAUGCGAGAGCCCCAAGCCAGAACCACCAGCUGAGCCCAGUCAACCCAUAGGACUAUGAGGGAUAAUAAUAAAUCGUUGUUUAAACCUCUAA